rnacentral:rRNA from 1 species
UGGGGAAUUUUGGACAAUGGGCGAAAGCCUGAUCCAGCAAUGCCGCGUGUGUGAAGAAGGCCUUCGGGUUGUAAAGCACUUUUGUCCGGGAAAGAAAUCCUUGGCUCUAAUACAGUCGGGGGAUGACGGUACCGGAAGAAUAAGCACCGGCUAACUACGUGCCAGCAGCCGCGGUAAUACGUAGGGUGCAAGCGUUAAUCGGAAUUACUGGGCGUAAAGCGUGCGCAGGCGGUUUGCUAAGACCGAUGUGAAAUCCCCGGGCNCAACUGGGAACUGCAUUGGUGACUGGCAGGCUAGAGUAUGGCAGAGGGGGGUAGAAUUCCACGUGUAGCAGUGAAAUGCGUAGAGAUGUGGAGGAAUACCGAUGGCGAAGGCAGCCCCCUGGGGCC